ACAUACCUAAAACGUUGCCUCGGCGGGAACAGACGGCCCCGUAACACGGGCCGCCCCCGCCAGAGGACCCCCUAACUCUGUUUCUAUAAUGUUUCUUCUGAGUAAACAAGCAAAUAAAUUAAAACUUUCAACAACGGAUCUCUUGGCUCUGGCAUCGAUGAAGAACGCAGCGAAAUGCGAUAAGUAAUGUGAAUUGCAGAAUUCAGUGAAUCAUCGAAUCUUUGAACGCACAUUGCGCCCGCCAGUAUUCUGGCGGGCAUGCCUGUUCGAGCGUCAUUACAACCCUCAGGCCCCCGGGCCUGGCGUUGGGGAUCGGCGGAAGCCCCCUGCGGGCACAACGCCGUCCCCCAAAUACAGUGGCGGUCCCGCCGCAGCUUCCAUUGCGUAGUAGCUAACACCUCGCAACUGGAGAGCGGCGCGGCCACGCCGUAAAACACCCAACUUCUGAAUGUUGACCUCGAAUCAGGUAGGAAUACCCGCUGAACUUAAGC
rnacentral:rRNA from 1 species